rnacentral:rRNA from 1 species
GAUGAACGCUGGCGGCGUGCUUAACACAUGCAAGUCGAACGGAAAGGCCCAAGCUUGCUUGGGUACUCGAGUGGCGAACGGGUGAGUAACACGUGGGUGAUCUGCCCUGCACUUCGGGAUAAGCCUGGGAAACUGGGUCUAAUACCGGAUAGGACCACUUCUUGGAUGUUGUGGUGGAAAGUUUUUUCGGUGUGGGAUGAGCUCGCGGCCUAUCAGCUUGUUGGUGGGGUAAUGGCCUACCAAGGCGUCGACGGGUAGCCGGCCUGAGAGGGUGUACGGCCACAUUGGGACUGAGAUACGGCCCAGACUCCUACGGGAGGCAGCAGGGGGGAAUAUUGCACAAUGGGCGCAAGCCUGAUGCAGCGACGCCGGGUGGGGAUGACGGCCUUCGGGUUGUAAACUCCUUUCGCUAGGGACGAAGCGUUUUGUGACGGUACCUGGAGAAGAAGCACCGGCUAACUACGUG